UACGGGGGGAGCAAGCGUUGUUCGGAUUUACUGGGCGUAAAGGGCGCGUAGGCGGCGCAACAAGUCACUUGUGAAAUCUCCGGGCUUAACUCGGAGCGGCCAAGUGAUACUGUCGUGCUAGAGUGCGGAAGGGGCAACUGGAAUUCUCGGUGUAGCGGUGAAAUGCGUCGAUAUCGAGAGGAACACCUGCGGCGAAGGCGGGUUGCUGGGCCGACACUGACGCUGAGGCGCGAAAGCCAGGGGAGCGAACGGG
rnacentral:rRNA from 1 species